AACACUUAGAGUUUGAUCCUGGCUCAGGACGAACGCUGGCGGUGCGCUUAAUGCAUGCAAGUCGAACGAGAACGGCGGCUUCGGUCGCUAAGUAAAGUGGCAGACGGCUGAGUAACACGUAAGUAACCAACCCCGGAGCGGGGAAUAAUCAUGAGAAAUCGUGCCUAAUACCCCGUACGUCCCAACAGGCGUUGCCGUUGGGGGAAAGGCUUCGGUCGCUCUGGGACGGGCUUGCGGCCUAUCAGGUAGUUGGUGGGGUAAAGGCCCACCAAGCCGUAGACGGGUACCCGGUGUGAGAGCACGAACGGGCAGAGGGGGACUGAGACACGGCCCCCACUCCUACGGGAGGCAGCAGCAGGGAAUCUUGCGCAAUGGGCGAAAGCCUGACGCAGCGACACCGCGUGGAGGAAGAAGGCUUUCGGGUCGUAAACUCCUUUUCUCGGGGAAGAGAACGGACGGUACCCGAGGAAUAAGCAUCGGCUAACUACGUGCCAGCAGCCGCGGUAAUACGUAGGAUGCGAGCGUUGUCCGGAUUUACUGGGCGUAAAGGGCGAGUAGGCGGCCCGCUAAGUCUCAUGUGAAAUCUCCCGGCUCAACUGGGAGGGGUCAUGAGAAACUGGCAGGCUUGAGGUCAGCAGAGGAAAGCGGAAUUCCCGGAGUAGCGGUGAUAUGCGUAGAUACCGGGAGGAACACCAGAGGCGAAGGCGGCUUUCUGGGCUGCACCUGACGCUGAGGCGCGAAAGCGUGGGGAGCGAACCGGAUUAGAUACCCGGGUAGUCCACGCCCUAAAUGGUGGAUACUAGACAUGGGGGGUAUCGACCCCCUCUGUGUCGUAGUUAACGCGUUAAGUAUCCCGCCUGGGGAGUACGGCCGCAAGGCUAAAACUCAAAGGAAUUGACGGGGGCCCGCACAAGCAGCGGAGCGUG
rnacentral:rRNA from 1 species